ensembl:snoRNA small nucleolar RNA SNORA33
AAGCCAGCCAAUGAGUCUGCUUACCUGAAUGUGUUUUUGCAAAAAUUUAGAGAAAGCUGGCAAUAGCAAAGCCAUGUUAUGAGCCUUAAAGACAUCCAAAUCAUUAAGGACCCUGAAAAUGGCUAUAAAA